UCAAACGACGUCGUAAAGCGUAACUAGCCCAAACUUUCAACGAGGGUUGUCUGACGCAAUUUCUCAAUCUCUGAGUCUCCAUCUCAUCUUCUCUGUACUUCUAACAGUCUUACGGGUUUAACCUUUCUCCCUUUCUCCCUUUCUCUAUCUCUUUGUCAAACAUUGCUGAAUCCUAUUUUUGUUUUUUAUUUUCCAUUUUUUCCUCCAUUUUUUGUUAUGUUUUUGUCUUGGAAGUGAAUUUUCACACCACAAGUCAGGAUUUCAUCGUCGGAAGGAAGAAAGGCAGGAGCUUUUUCUGGAUUUUGUGUUCAAAGACUAAGAUGAGUCUGGCUUGUCUUGUAUGCCAUGGUGUAGAAAGUCCAUCACAAUCGUUUAGAAGUUAUUCUGUUUCAAGUUCAGACAAUGACGGAAGGUGUGCUGCUAUUACCAGUUACAUUACAAGAAAGACGAUUCUAUCACACACAAGAACAAAUCAUAGUGUUACAUCAUCCAAGGUGACUCCUCAACCAACUGUACCCAGUAAUGUAGUUACAGGCCCCCCACGUUUGGUCCGAAGCCAUGCUGUUAGAAGGGAUCUGGUGAGAGACUGGAACUUUGAUGAGGUAAUAUUGGAGCAUUAGUCAAGACCAUAGGUAGCAGAAAGAACCAAAGACAAACCUAUGGUGUUCUUAUAGUUCAUUAAACUAUCCUUUUUCGUCUUUCUAGCUUUUUGGGUACUUUGAACAUUUCUUUCAAUUUACAUUUGGGCACUUUGGUCAUGGGAUCCUACAACGAAUUUGUUAAAAAUGAUAAAUCUGUAUUUGGUGUAAUGCUGUCCAUUUCUCUUGGUAACUGGGAUAGGGCUCACAAGAAAUGGUCUUUCUUGGCCAUAUCCCAAGUCCAGGAACUUGAAUGACGUCGUAUGGCUCUGUAAAUUUCGUUAAGACUUGAUAGGAACGCAGGGAUUGCACUUUGUUAAAUGUUCUCUGAUGCCUCAUGUAUGCUGUUAUUCUUCAAUGGUGAUGGUAAAUUAUUGCAAA